ACAGAGGGGGCAAGUGUUAUUAGGAAUUAUUGGGCGUAAAGGGCGCGUAGGCGGUUCUUUAAGUGAGAUGUGCAAUCCCCGGGCUUAACCUGGGAACUGCAUCUCAUACUGGAGAGCUAGAGUGCUGGAGAGGGUGGUAGAAUUCCACGUGUAGCGGUGAAAUGCGUAGAGAUGUGGAGGAAUACCAGUGGCGAAGGCGGCCACCUGGACAGUAACUGACGCUGAGGCGCGAAAGUGUGGGUAGCAAACAG
rnacentral:rRNA from 1 species